GCUGAAUAGUAUGUAGCAACACUUUGCAUUUUUAAAAUAUCCUCCAUGUAUAUGACAUCUUGCUUUCCACCCUCUUUGGACAGAAGGAAAGCAAGUAGGGGUGGGAAGUGGUAGUGUGCUGAUAGCAAGAACAGGGUGAUGUGGGUGGUUGGUGGCAGCAGAUGGUGAACAGUGGGGAUAAGGUCAAAAACGGGCAGGGGCCAGACAGGGCCAAGAAAUAUGAGACAUUUAAAUAUGUCUGAAUUUAAAUAUAAUUUCCCAAGUCCAUGGGCUGACAUUUUUUGCUGAAGUUAUCUGGAUUGUAUUUAAUUAGCAACUUGGAGGAACCAAAGGAGAUGGAGAGUGGUAGAGGCUGAUCAUCUGCAGACCACUCCCACAGAACUCCAACCCCACCCUCAAUUGUUCUCUGGGUUUUCCUCCACUGAUCAUUUUGGCUCCUGGUCCUGGUUAAGUCACAACUGAACACUGAAUAAGAGAAUCUUGGGGGAUAGAUAUCUAUAUACUAUUGGGGUACUGUCUAUAACCAAGCUAACUUACAAACAGUCCCACCAUAGUCUAUUUUCCUUGGACUAGGCAUGCAGAAGUCCCUUUCCAGUGCUCCUUAUUUGUAUCACCCUUGUCACCGUGAAAUGCCCAACCAUCCCAGCUAACCCACUAGGUCAUAUCAAAUGUGAAUAGUUAACCAUCAAGCCCACUUCCAAUGCCUUCUUUCAGCUCCCCAGGUCCUCAAGGAGCAAAGCUCAUUUAUAAGACUCAGAGCUACAAUUUUGCCCAACCCAGCUUUGUGUAUUGGGGGUGAGAGGGACUAGGGAUUUAGCUCAAAUACUUUUCCCCAGAGCCCUUAUUUAUUUAUUUGUUUAUUUGUUUGUUUGUUUAUUUGAUGCAAUGUCUUGCUAAGUUGCUGAGGCUACACUUAAACUUGCAUCUUCCACCUCACCCUCACAAAUCUCUGGGACUACUGGCAUGUGCCACCAUGCCAGCCCCUGACCCAGCUUCAACCCAGACCCAUAGUCCUUUCCUCUUGCCCCCUCUCUUUCAUCCUUUCUCUCACUUUCCUUGGCCCAAGGCUCUUGUUCUGAAUCUUGUUCCCUUUAGCUCCAUUCUUUCCUUUCAUUCAUCUUUUUGCUUUUAAUACCUUUCCACUUGGCUGAUUCAUCCAGCAUUUACACUUUGGUCUCAGAUUCCUCCUUUCAUGACUUUGAAAUGCCACCAUGAAGGUCCCCUUGAGUAACCCCAG
rnacentral:lncRNA from 1 species